CACUGACCCUUCUGCCUGCUUCCUUGAGCUUCAUUGCUGCCAGCCCAGUAGUGAUGGGAGUGAGUGCAGGACUUCUCUUUUUGUAUUUGUAUUUACUUUGUAUCACACAGCCUUGUUACAAUGCUGCCGUCCAUCCCAUGUGUUCCCUAUUAAGGGUUAAUAAGUAUAUAGGGGUGUAUAUAAAAAUACCCCUCUCUGUCUCAUUAGAGAUAUCUUUGCCAGAAGCUCAAGGAAGCAGGCAGAAGGGUCAGUGU